GUAGGAGGCGAGCGUUAUCCGGAUUUACUGGGCGUAAAGCGCGUGCAGGCGGUCCCUUAAGUCGGACGUGAAAGCUCCUGGCUCAACUAGGAGAGGUCGUUCGAAACUAGGGGACUUGAGGAUGGUAGAGGAGAGUGGAAUUCCCGGUGUAGUGGUGAAAUGCGUAGAUAUCGGGAGGAACACCAGUGGCGAAGGCGGCUCUCUGGGCUAUUCCUGACGCUAAGACGCGAAAGCUAGGGGAGAGAACGGGAUUAGAAACCCCGGGUAUUCCUAGCCGUAAACGAUGUCAACUAGGUGUAGAGGGUAUCCCAACCCCCCCCCCUGUGCUGUAGCUAACGCGUUAAGUUGACCGCCUGGGGACUACGGCCGCAAGGCUA
rnacentral:rRNA from 1 species